rnacentral:lncRNA from 1 species
GACAAAUUUUUAAGUAUAUACUUCAGCUGCAAUUCGUUACAUGGACAAGGCGUCGGUAUCACAUCUUGGCAGACAUUUCUUUCGCCUUUUACUAAAGAAAUCUGAGAUUUGAUUCCAUUGUGACGCAUUCACAAUUUUUUUUUGCCUGCACCUGCGGGCACCUAUCCGUAAAACCUUCUCCUGCUUUUCCUGAACAAAACACAUGUCAUCGAAAUCGUGGCUCACGAAUCAUUUAUUUACAUUUGUUCGUCAAGGUUCGGAUGGAGUUUCCGCACAAAUUCACAACCAUGUGGUUCAGUGCAAGAAAUAAAUACCUUCACUCUCCAGUGCCCGGACAGUCACGUCACGUAUGCGGCGCGCGGUGGGGUGACGCGCGUCGUCCGUCUACAGGUGGUCGGCAUAGCCGCGUCGCGUAGUCGUCGCCGUGUCGCGCGAGACGGGUUGCGCAGCGUGUCGAAACCAAGACUCCUAGUUCACGAUACCAAGUGCGUUUUACAUUUGUAUGAAGCGAUAACUCAACGUUCUCGAAUUAGCGAUGAGAAAAGUGUCGACAGGUAUUCAAGAAGGAUUAAAGUCGUCUAUAACAGGAUUAGGAUUAUGAUGGUCAUGACAGGUUCGUUCCCUCGGUGAUUACAAUAAUGUACGGAGAAAUUGAACCAUGACUCUUAGUUCACGAUACCAGGUAAGUGUCACACUUAUAUGGAGCGCUUAAAUCAACACUCUCAAAUCAACGAUGUCAAAAAUGUCAACGAUAUAAAAGUUAGUACGAAGGUAUAUAUAAUAUAUACCUUCGUACCUUCAUUCGUACCUUCGUAUCUAUAGUCCUUCGUAGAAGAAAUAAACCUUGGGAUGUGGUGCUCAAUGUGACUUCAUCAGUAAACUGACUCUUCCCAAAUUUGGGUCGGGCGAAUGUUUCACAGAUGGCGCUGUUCCGGCCGAAAGUCGACGCACAUUCUGGUGAGGGGCAUUUCGAUUCUACUAGCUAGCUAGCUAGCUAGCUAGCUAGCUAGGUAGCUACCUCGUAGAAUGGAGUAGGCUACUAGCCAGCUAGCUAGCUAGCUAGUAGUUCUCGUUUCAUCGCGGAUGUCAUCUCGGAUCCGUUGACAAAACGAUGAUUUUAACAAAAUGUUUCGACAAGUCACCAUACACGAUCCGUUUUGAAAAUCCGUUCUCAGUGAUAUGCACUGUACCUUCGUGCAUACAUAGGUUAAGUGCUUAGACUAUGAGUAUAAAUAAGAGGUACGAACGAAGAUAGUAUAAAUAAUAGCUUAUUACCCAUCAAAAUAUAUACGAUACCGUCGAAUAACAUGAGGUAGGCUGGCUAAUACCUUCGUAAUAAGGAAAGGUCUUGACUCACACUCCUCGCAAAUUGCGCGUUGGAUGGAGCGAUAAGAAAACAUCGUGUUAUCGGCGUUGUUAGGACCUGCACCUGCCCCGUCCAUCAAAGUCUUAACCUUACCAAGAAAGAUGAGCUGCCAUGUCCUUUUCAUCAAUGCAACGACGCGGUGGGGACAGGAGCAAGCACGAGUAAUUCCGUCCGUUGCACGCAGCGCCCUCGUUCAUGGCGGCGAGGGCGUAAACCGGCGCUUCCGGCGCGAAUCGGCGUCCACAAGUUGCGAUCGCACACGCUGCGACACUGUUGAUGGUAAC